CCAAAGAGGCAGAAGGAAUUAGGGUUCUUGUUUGAUCUGAAAUUGAAGAAAUUAAAUGGAGUUUUGUAAAUUGAAAAUUGGUGGUGUUUAUGAGAAUCUGGUGGUCAUCAAGAUACAACAACAACCGAUCAGAAUUGAAAAAGCAUUAUGAUAUUUCCUCUUAUAACAAUCCUGUACCUGCUGAUUUUUUUUUGGAGGUUUUCUCUUCAUUGUUAGGUGGUAUUCAUCAUUAUAAUCACUCAUCCGAUUCUUAUGAAAAGAGGAAGACAAACGAUGGUGUGGUUCCCUCGACCAUGCACAUGUUGCUGUUGUAAGCGAGCAUACGGAAAGCAAUAUAUGAAGGUUCCCUCUACCAUGCACAUGUUGAUGUUGUAAGCGAAGGCUUUUUUUUUUUUUGCAGACAAAAUCGACCACUUUGUUCGGCCAACUGACACGUUUACAAGGCUUAAAUAAUGAGAAGAACGUCUGGAGAAUGAUUUUAGGCCUUGGAUUUUGGGAUCUACAGGUUUUGAAACCAAUUUUUCUCGCAGAUAUCAGAAGAAGUGAACAUGAUUGACACUGCAUCUCCCCUGCCAGAAAAAUCAGGGUUCGACUAGGAGAAAUAGUGGAACAUGGAUAACGAAACUAUUGGCAGAAGACGAGAAAGGAAAUCAAUUUCCGGACGACGUUCCCCCAGUGUUAUUGCAUGUCUGAUGGGUCUUGAUAUGCCGCCACCUGAGCAACAACCUCAUAAAGUGGACAAGGUUUUCAGAGAGUUAUCAAAGGAGAACUGCAACUAUUGGUUUCAUGGAGAAAAACUACUCCUCGCAAUAUGCUAGGUCACCAAACAUCACAUGUUGUAAAACAUGGUAACUCAGCAAAUGCUACGAAAACAACAAGUUCGAUGGUAAGUGAGGCUAAGAUGGAAGACAUAAGGUAGAAGUCAUGGAUGUCAAACGUCUCUCUACUGACAGCCAUGGAACACAUGAGCAUGGGUGGAUGCUGCCAGUGUCGUUGGUCUCUUUAUCGAAUGAGAGAAUAUUACAUCUUCUUUGAGCGGAAGGCGUAAAAAGUUGGAGUUGAUUUUGAUUUUCUUAUUUUGACAUGGAAGGAACAAAAUGUGGGAUUUUUUUGGUCGCAUAAAAUUUGAGUUCAUGGGGUAGAUGUAAAUGCAGUGAUGAACUACUCCCUCCGUUUCAAAAAGAUUCGAACAAUUUCUUGCAUCUGACUCACUUAGAUAUUUUUUUGUUUGUAGUUUGGGUUCUACUAAAGAAACUAUUGGCAGAAGAAAAAAAAAGGAAAUCAAUUUCUAUUCCUUACCAAAUACUUGCUUCCUGUUAUAUUGCAACAUGAGCAGGCACCGAAAUGAUGGUGUUGUACGUAAAAGCGGGGUCACGGCGGAAUGAGAGGAGUUGGAUUACUAUGACCACCAAAGACGUUACCAGUAUAUGUAGUAUGGUAAUCUCUUCUAUUACCCUAUGGUAUUGUCAUGCAUGUUCCAAACUGUUAGUGAUAUCACAGGUAGAUAUUCAUUUCAUCCAACAGUUGUUGCACAGUAAUUACUGAGUUUAUUUUUGUUCUAGGAGACCAUUUUGUAUCCGAUGAGCAACUGAUUUCAUUU